rnacentral:miRNA from 1 species
GUGUUUAGAUGUAUGUGUGUAUGUACAUCUAUGGGUAUCAAGUCAUGUACAUGAUAGAUAUCCCAUAUA